AAGAACCUGAAUCUGCAUCAGUUAUUGUACAUCUUCAGUAACAAUUAUUUAAGAUGAAGUUUUUCUAUCUUUUCUUCGUUGUUGUUUUUGCCCUUAUGGCCCUUCAGCAGUCGGUCUACGCCUGCAUCGCCAAUGGUAACGGCUGUCAACCUGACGGAAGUCAAGGGAACUGUUGUUCAUUAUACUGCCACAAGGAACCAGGAUGGGUAGCUGGAUACUGCAGAUAGAAAGGAACCUCUUCCAAUGUCAACACAACAUCUACAGAAAAGUCAAUUUGAAUGGAAUAAUCCAUAAUAUAUACAUGACUAAUAAAAUAACAAGCAUUUAA